ACCCAACAGCUAGCCCAACCAACCAAAAACAACAAACAACUAUUUAUAAACCCGCAUUAACCAAUAAACCAUGAAACAAACCAUUUUUCCCCCUUAGUAUGGGCGACAGAAAAGGAACCAAUGGAGCAAUAGAGAAAGUACCGCAGGGGAAAGCUGAAAGAGAAAUGAAACAACCCAGUAAAGAUUAGAAAAGCAGAGAUAAUCACUCGUACCUUUUGCAUCAUGAUUUAGCUAGUAAAGUCCAAGCAAAACGCAUUUUAGUUUGGCUCCCCGAAACUAAGUGAGCUACUCCAAGACAGCCUAUUGUAGGGCCAACCCUUCUCUGUGGCAAAAGAGUGGGAAGAGCUUCGAGUAGAGGUGACAGACCUAUCGAACUUAGUGAUAGCUGGUUGCCUGAGAAUUGGAUAGGAGUUCAGCCUCUGGAGUUUCUUCCCUCACCCUGUUCUUAAUCCACCCGACAGUAUAAGAAACCGAGAGAGUUAUUCAAAGGGGGUACAGCCCCUUUGAACAAAGACACAACUUUUACAGGAGGAUAAAGAUCAUAAACAAUUAAGGACGCCUGUUCUGGUAGGCCUAAAAGCAGCCACCCCUAAAAAAAGCGUUAAAGCUUAUACAUUUUUCGAGUCCCCUAAUUUCGAUAAUUUUAUCUUAACCCCUGACAUGUAUCAGGCCGUUCCAUGCCCCCAUGGAAGCGACCAUGCUAAAAUGAGUAAUAAGAGGGCCACGCCCCUCUCCCCGCACACGUGUAAAUCGGAACGAACCCCCACCGAAUCUUAAUCGGCCCCAAAAAAAGAGGGAACUGGACAAAAUAUUAAUUAACUGGAAAAACGUCCAACCAAAAACCGUUAACCCCACACAGGAGUGCCCAAAGGGAAAGACUAAAAGAAAAAGAAGGAACUCGGCAAACACCUAGAGCCUCGCCUGUUUACCAAAAACAUCGCCUCUUGCAAAAAUAAGGAAUAAGAGGUCCCGCCUGCCCUGUGACUAUAUGUUUAACGGCCGCGGUAUUUUGACCGUGCGAAGGUAGCGCAAUCACUUGUCUUUUAAUUGGAGACCUGUAUGAAUGGCAUAACGAGGGCUUGACUGUCUCCUUUUUCAGGUCAGUGAAAUUGAUCUCCCCGUGCAGAAGCGGGGAUAUUAACAUAAGACGAGAAGACCCUAUGGAGCUUUAGACACCAAGGCAGACUAUGUUAAAAACCCCUAAUCAAAGGGCCAAACAAAAUAGUCCCUGCCCUAAUGUCUUUGGUUGGGGCGACCGCGGGGAAAAAAACAACCCCCAUGUGGACUGGGAACACCCGUCCUAGAACUAAGAGCUCCCGCUCUAAGUACCAGAAUUUCUGACCAAACAGAUCCGGCAAAAGCCGAUCAACGGACCGAGUUACCCUAGGGAUAACAGCGCAAUCCCCUUCUAGAGCCCAUAUCGACAAGGGGGUUUACGACCUCGAUGUUGGAUCAGGACAUCCUAAUGGUGCAGCCGCUAUUAAGGGUUCGUUUGUUCAACGAUUAAAGUCCUACGUGAUCUGAGUUCAGACCGGAGUAAUCCAGGUCAGUUUCUAUCUAUGUUGUGCUCUUUUCUAGUACGAAAGGACCGAAAAGAGGAGGCCCAUGCUUAAGGUACGCCUCACCCUUAUUUAGUGAAGCCAACUAAAAUAAAUAAAAGGGCACAGCCCGCCCCGCCGAAAAGCACGGCGU
rnacentral:rRNA from 1 species